rnacentral:rRNA from 1 species
UACGGAGGAUCCGAGCGUUAUCCGGAUUUAUUGGGUUUAAAGGGUGCGCAGGCGGGGGAUUAAGUCGGCGGUGAAAUUUUGCAGCUCAACUGUAAAAGUGCCUUCGAAACUGGUUUCCUUGAGUGUAGAUGAAGUAGGCGGAAUUUGUGGUGUAGCGGUGAAAUGCAUAGAUAUCACGAGGAACUCCGAUUGCGCAGGCAGCUUACUAAACCAUAACUGACGCUCAGGCACGAAGGCGUGGGGAUCAAACAGGAUUAGAUACCCCCGUAGUCCCU